AUUUUAAAGUUUGAUUCUUGCUUAUAGUUUUUAUAUUAUGGCUAAAAAAUACAUGAAAAUUAUAGUGUUCUUUUAUAUUAUAAAUUAAAAAUUUAUAUAACUUUAGUCUCAGUAUUUAAUUUUAAAUAUUAAUUAAAAUUAGAAUUGGUGGUCAUUUUAAUCCUGACUAAAAUUUGUGCCAGCAGUCGCGGUUAUACUUAGGGGGUGAAUAAACACAGUUUGGUGUUAUAGUAGAUUAUUAGUUAACUAAAACUUAUUAUUUUUUUUAAAGGGUGAAAUCAGGAUUUAAUUAUAAUAAUAAUUUUAAAAUAAA
rnacentral:rRNA from 1 species